rnacentral:sRNA from 1 species
AGAGACAAGUAGGAGCACCCGCUUCUCACCUGAUCGACGCAAAAAGCAGUUGGCAGGUCACUUAUUCCUUUGAUAUUUUAGGAGACGUGUGGGUGCAUUAUGUGUACCGACACUUUUUUUAUUGC